rnacentral:rRNA from 1 species
UUCCGGUUGAUCCUGCCGGAGGCUACCGCUAUUGGAGUUCGAUUAAGCCAUGCGAGUCGCGAGUCUUAGGGACUCGGCGUACCGCUCAGUAACACGUGGGUAACCUGCCCUAUGCUGGGGGAUAACCUCGGGAAACUGAGAAUAAUACCCCAUAGUUCACCACGCCUGGAACGGUGGGUGGAUCAAAGCUCCGGCGGCAUAGGAUGGGCCUGCGGCGUAUCAGGUUGUAGGGGGUGUAAUGUACCCUCUAGCCCUCUACGCGUACGGGUGUUGAGAGACAUCGCCCGGAGAUGGAUUCUGAGACACGAAUCCAGACCCCACGGGGUGCAGCAGGCGCGAAAACUUGGCAAUGCGAGAAAUCGUGACCAGGGAACUCCAAGUGCAUCGGGUAAGACCGAUGCUUUUCUUGACUCUUCAAAGGUCUUGGAAUAAGGGGUGGGUAAGGACGGUGCCAGCCGCCGCGGUAAUACCGGCGCCCCAAGUGGUAGUCGCUUUUAUUGGGCCUAAAACGUCCGUAGCCGGUCUGGUACAUUCGUGGGUAAAUCAACCAGCUCAACUGGUUGAAUUCUGCGAGCACGGCCAGACUUGGGACCGGGAGAGGUGUGGGGUACUCUCAGGGUAGGGGUAAAAUCCUGUCAUCCUGAGAGGACCACCUGUUGCGAAGGCGCCACACUAGAACGGAUCCGACGGUCAGGGACGAAGCCUAGGGGCACGAACCGGAUUAGAUACCCGGGUAGUCCUAGGUGUAAACGCUGUGGACUUGAUGUUGGGGGCGCUCCGAGCGCACUCAGUGUCGAAGCGAAGGUGAUAAGUCCACUGCCUGGGGAGUACGGUCGCAAGGCUGAAACUUAAAGGAAUUGGCGGGGGAGCACCGCAACCUGAGGAUUGUGCGGUUUAAUUGGAUUCAACGCCGGA